GAUGAACGCUGGCGGCGUGCCUAAUACAUGCAAGUCGAGCGAACGGACGAGAAGCUUGCUUCUCUGAUGUUAGCGGCGGACGGGUGAGUAACACGUGGAUAACCUACCUAUAAGACUGGGAUAACUUCGGGAAACCGUAGCUAAUACCGGAUAAUAUUUUGAACCGCAUGGUUCAAAAGUGAAAGACGGUCUUGCUGUCACUUAUAGAUGGAUCCGCGCUGCAUUAGCUAGUUGGUAAGGUAACGGCUUACCAAGGCAACGAUGCAUAGCCGACCUGAGAGGGUGAGCGGCCACACUGGAACUGAGACGCGGUCCAGACUCCUACGGGAGGCAGCAGUGGGGAAUCUUCCGCAAUGGGCGAAAGCCUGACGGAGCAACGCCGCGUGAGUGAUGAAGGUCUUCGGAUCGUAGAACUCUGUUAUGAGGGAAGAACAUAUGUGUAAGUAACUGUGCACAUCUUGACGGUACCUAAUCAGAAAGCCACGGCUAACUACGUG
rnacentral:rRNA from 1 species